AGAUGGAUGAAUCAACCCAAAUAUAUGUUCCUUGGAAAAGCUGAUCUAAAUGUGUCCAAAUCCCUACUGUCUCCUCUCCUCGCAUGGAGGUCC
rnacentral:snoRNA from 1 species